AUGGGGUUUUAUGGGAUUCUAUGGGGCUUUAUGGGGUUUUAUGGGGUCUUAUGGGGUCUUAUGGGAUCCUAUAGGAUUUUAUGGGGUCUUAUGGGGUCUUAUGGGAUUCUAUGGGGUUUUAUGGGGUUUUAUGGGAUCCUAUGGGGUUUUAUGGGAUCCUAUGGGGUUUUAUGGGGUUUUAUGGGGUUCUAUGGGGUUCUAGAAGCUUCUAUGGGGUUUUUAUGGGGUCUUAUGGGGUUUUAUGGGGUCUUAUGGGGUUUUAUGGGAUCCUAUGCGGUUUUAUGGGGUUUUAUGGGGUUCUAUGGGGUUCUAGAAGCUUCUAUGGGGUUUUAUGGGGUCUUAUGGGAUCCUAUGGGGUUUUAUGGGGUCCUUAUGGGGUUUUAUGGGGUUUUUUGGGUUUUUAUGGGAUUUUAUGGGGUUCUAUGGGGUUCUAUUGGGUUCUAUGGGGUUCUAGAAGGUUCUAUGGGGUUUUAUGGGGUCCUUAUGGGGUCUUAUGGGAUCCUAUGGGGUUUUAUGGGGUUUUAUGGGAUCCUAUGGGAUCUUAUGGGGUCUUAUGGGGUCUUAUGGGGUCUUAUGGGGUUUUUUGGGUUUUUAUGGGAUCUUAUGGGGUUCUAUGGGGUUCUAUUGGGUUCUAUGGGGUUCUAUGGGGUUCUGGAAGGUUCUAUGGGGUUUUUAUGGGGUUUUAUGGGGUCUUAUGGGGUCUUAUGGGGUCUUAUGGGGUUUUAUGGGAUUUUAUGGGAUUCUAUGGGGUUUUAUGGGGUUCUAUUGGGUUCUAUUGGAUUCUAUGGGGUUCUAGAAGCUUCUAUGGGAUCCUAUGGGGUUUUAUGGGGUUUUAUGGGGUCUUAUGGGGUUUUAUGGGAUUCUAUGGGAUUCUGUGGGGGCUUCUAUUGGAUUCUAUGGGGUUCUAGAAGCUUCUAUGGUGUUUCUAUGCGGUUUUAUGGGGUCCUAUGGGGUUUUAUGGGGUCUUAUGGGAUUCUAUGGGGUUCUAUUGGGUUCUAUGGGGUUCUAGAAGCUUCUAUGGGGUUUUAUGGGGUUUUUUAUGGGGUCUUAUGGGGUCCUAUGUGGUCUUAUGGGGUUUUAUGGGCUCUUAUGGGGUUUUAUGGGGUUUUAUGGGAUCCUAUGGGGUUUUAUGGGGUCUUAUGGGGUCUUAUGGCGUUUUAUGGGGUCCUAUGGGAUCCUAUGGGAUCUUAUGGGGUCCUAUGGGAUCGUAUGGGGUUUUAUGGGGUCUUAUGGGAUUCUAUGGGGUUUUAUGGCGUUCUAUUGGGUUCUAGAAGCUUCUAUGGGAUUUCUAUGAGGUCUUAUGGAUCUUAUGGGGUCUUAUAG
rnacentral:lncRNA from 1 species